rnacentral:lncRNA from 1 species
GCCUAGGCCUGCAGAGACUGCUCAGUCACAGUUGAAGGAGACCUACUGAGUCCUGAGGACAACCAACAAAGGCCUUAACGGCACAGAAGCUCACUCAGCUCACCCAUUAAACCCUGCGGGUCUGUUUCACUUUUUCCUUCCCACACAAACAUUACAGUAACAGUCUGGCCUUCCCAAACCACCACUGGAAACUUCAACUGAACUGAUCAUAUAUCAGUCAACUCUAGGAGACCAGCUCUGAUUCCAAGAAACUGUGACAUUGCCUCCAUUGGAAGUUACAACCUUCACCUGCCAACCUGGACUCAUCCCAUAGGCAAGUGAAGGAACGUUUCUCCUCAUAUUCAUCUCUAGCAACAAAUUUGGGACAUAAUUCAAAUUAGCCUUAAGUUCCUUAAGUGGGAAGGAUUAGUCUUAUAAAUUAGUUUAUAAAUUCCCCCAUGACAUGUAAUAGAGUACUGCAUACACUAUAGGAGCUUAACAAUAAUUGCUACCAUUUGUCAAACACUUUCUUAAUUCCAGGAGCUGUACUUGAAGCUCUACAUAAUUAUUUCAUGCAUACAUUUUGUCAUUCAUUCUAACUCUCCUAGAAAGGUAUUAUCCCCAUUUUUAAGAUGGAGAAAUGGAGGCUUUGGCAAAUGCAUAGACUCAUCUAAGACAAUACAGCUAGUAAGUAGCAGAGUAAACUUUGAUCCCAAGACUGACCAGUGCCAAAGCCUAAAUUCUUCCUACUCUAUAGGCUGUCUCCCUAUAAACAUUUCAUUCCUCCAGUGACCACUGUAUCAAUGAUGGAAAUCCUAGGUGGGCCAAGUUUGGCUCAAUAUAUCACAUAAACUACCUAACAAAGUCCAGCAACAGUAUGGAUCUUGAAGUAGUGAGUAUCAUCACAGAAACGUCUUUCUGUCUGAGAUAUUGUAGAGAGGACCACUACCCUGAUUGAAAAACUGGACUAGAUGAUCUCAAUAUCUAAAAUGAAAAAGCAAAGACUGGAGUCAUAUUCUGAUCAACAAGGCCAAAGUUAAAUUCCAGGUUCCUUUCAUUUCAGAAAAUGCACAUUAAGUGCCUCAUAUAUGAGAUACUGUAUUUCGGAAGACAGAGACAAAAGAAGAGACACAGUUACCAGUAUGGGAGAAUUAUUAUUAUUUAAGCUAGAUAUUGAAGAGAAAUAAGAUUUUAGAAAAUUGGGGUAGAAAAAAAUUGAAAGUUAUACCUAGUAGCAGAUGAAGGGAAUAGG